rfam:Picea glauca, whole genome shotgun sequence.
GAGUGUGAUCAUACCAACGUUAAUGCACCAGAUCCCAUCGAAACUCCACAGUUAAGUGGACUUGGGCUAGAGUCAUACUAGGAUGGGUGACCUCCCAGGAAGUCCUAGUGUUGCACCUU